UCUCCGUAGGUGAACCUGCGGAGGGAUCAUUACUGAGUGAGGGCCUUCGGGCUCGACCUCCAACCCUUUGUGAACACAACUUGUUGCUUCGGGGGCGACCCUGCCGUUUCGACGGCGAGCGCCCCCGAAGGUCUCCAAACACUGCAUCUUUGCGUCUGAGUCUUAUAUAUGAAUUAAAUCAAAACUUUCAACAACGGAUCUCUUGGUUCUGGCAUCGAUGAAGAACGCAGC
rnacentral:misc_RNA from 1 species